rnacentral:piRNA from 1 species
GUUAUAGCUAGAUGGCUAG